rnacentral:lncRNA from 1 species
GCCCCUCCCCCAGCCUCAUUACUGCCUUGCAGUUUGAUCUCAGACUGCUGUGCUAGCAAUCAGCGAGACUCCCUGGGCGUAGGACCCUCCGAGCCAGGUGUGGGAAAUAAUCUCCUGGUGCACCGUUUCCUAAGCCCGUCGGAAAAGCGCAGUAUUUGGGUGGGAGUGGCCCGAUUUUCCAGGUGCCCUCCUUUCCUUGACCAGGAAAGGGAACUCCCUGACCCCUUACGCUUCCCAAGUGAGGCAAUGCCUCGCCCUGCUUCGGCUGGCGCACGGUGCCCUGCACCCACUGUCUGGCACUCCCUAGUGAGAUGAACCCGGUACCUCAGAUGGAAAUGCAGAAAUCACCCAUCUUCUGCGUGGCUCAUGCUGGGAGCUGUAGACCAGAGCUGUUCCUAUUCAGCCAUCUUGGCUCCCGGAUCCAGUUUAACUUUUGCAGAGAGACAAGAUCUCUCUCCAUUGCCAACACUGGUCUCAAACUCCUGGCCUCAAGCAAUCAUCCAACCUCAGCCUUCUGAGUACCGGGAUUACAAGUGCGAGCCACUGUGCCCAGCUCCUGUUUCUACUUUCUUAAGGCAAACCACUUCAAUAGAACAUGGCUGGCGGCCAUAUGGACAUAUUUGAAUCCAACAAUUAAUUCAGCAAAGAAAGCUGCUUGUGGCAAGUUUUGAAUGUGCCAUUCCAGGUAGUGCUUUGAUGAUAAAUGAGGAGAAGAUUGCAAAGAAAAUGACAGCAACAUUUAUAAAAGGAUUCCUCUUAGGACUCUAGAUGCACGGAGAGUGGCCAGAUUAAUACAGACUGGCAAAAGAAGAACUUGGCAAAGUGAUUUGAUCACACACUUCUCACCCUCACAUCUCCUGACAGUUCCCCUAAUCCCUGCCCCACUUCCCCGCCAUGGGCUUCCAUCAGGAAACUCCUUGAUAUCAUCUUCGAGAAGAAAACUGAGGCAUAGAACAUUUGGGAAUGAAUCUAAGACUACACAUCUAGAAUAGCAGAGGAAGGCAAUGUAUCGCAUCCUGUAUUACCUUCCCCUGACCUCAUAGCUUCCCAAAACAGGAACAAUCAUGGGCUUUGAAGUUACAGGAAUGCAGAUGUGAUUCCUAUGGAUGAGGGUAACCUAGAGGCUAGAAGAACAAUAGGACAGAAGAAGCCUGGGUCCCUGAACAACCUUGUGGAGCAUAGACACCUACGUGGCCUGGACUGCCAGCUCACAAUGGGCCUCUCUGUGAGAGAAGGAAACUUCCCUCUUGUUUAAGCAACUGUGCUUUUGAGAAUCUCUUGGUCUAUACCCUAAUGAAUAAGGCCAUCAUAAAUGGAUAUCAAAGUAAGGAAAUUUGUGUAAAUGAUUUAAUAAAACAUUACCUCAGGUAUGAAAUAAUUCUACCUUGUGCCUUGACAACAUCAGGUAUUAUUCAUGCCCUUUUCUCUCCCUGUAAUGUCUCUUAUCCACGGGUAGAAAUUAUAUUUUCCAUCUAAGGUUUGCUCAAAUAUUAUCUACUUAAGUAGCUCUUACCAAUUUUGCCUCUCCUCCUGAGCUGACCCUAUGCCUUCUAUGCUGUUCCAGGUAAUAUUAAUCUCUUCCUUUGUACUUCUUUCACAGAACAUACUUUUUUGUCUAACAUAAUAACUAUAGGCAUAAGUGUAUAGAUUCCACUAGGGGCUUCAGAACAGAAACUAUCAUCUUAUUAAUUUUUUUCUCCCUGAUAUCUAGGGAAAUAUGUUAUAUAUAAUAGGCCCUUAGUAAUCCCAUAAAUGUUUGUGAGAUAUUCACUGACUAUAAGCCAUACUCUGUAUUUAUUUAGCUAAAACAGACGUCUUUCAUAUUUAGUUAGCAGAAAAUGCUCACAUUUACUCCUUUCCUGUUUACCAAAUGAAAGGGUAAUUGUUUUUUCACAGAUUGCACUAGAAAAGUGUCUUCUCUCUCUUUUUCAAAUAGAUUGUCUUUAAAACAUAUGACAGGAAAAGUGACUAUUGUUAGGAUAAGAUAAUUACGAUUGUAACAGCUAGUUUAAAAGAAGUGUCAGUUGCUCCUGUUUUAUUUUUCACAGGAUAGAGCUGCGGCCUGUCUCAGUAUGAUGUUUUCAGGAUCUGGUAUAUAUUUUUAUUUUCCUACAUGAAUCUUUCAUCCUUUUACUGACAUUUAUUCAUUUUAUCUAAUUAUCCUAAAAGGAAAGCUCUGGCCAGGCAAAUUGGUUGUUGUCUGCCUCUGAAGAGACAUUCAUAUCGCGUCGCUUAGCUUUCAAGUUUUGUGAUCAGGAACCCUCAGGCCCAUUUUUAAGGAGGUUUCAGGCUAGCUGAGCUUCACUGUCUCCCAAAAUGUACAAAAUGAGAUUACAUGAGGGACAAGAUCAAUUUACUGGAAGGUACUUAAGCAGUAAAUCUGGAGCUUUUUGUCCAGUCACUAUUGCUUUCAAGCUUUGUAGCAGAAAAUUAAGCCACAAGAGCUUUGACAAAUUAGAUAUUACUACCUCUAAUUGUGUAUGUUUAAGCUUAUCACACUGAAUUGCAGCAUUGUAACUGACUAUUAUGCCAACAAGGCCUUCGUUUAAUCAGCGCAGUGCCAUUUAAUCGCAAUUAAUCACUCAACUAAAAUGUCAUAUUAAGGUCACAGAAACUUGAAGGGCUAAAAGAAAAGAGAACAUUAAAGUCAGCUGAUGGAGGAAAAGAGCAUGGUGUGCCAAGGGAAGUUCUGAGCACUCUUUUUCAUUAGAAGCUGGUAGAACAUUUAAUGAGAAUUCAGUCUUAACUUUCAGCUGAGAUCAGAACAACGUGCC